AUCCCUCUCCUCGCCAAAAAAAAAAAAAAGUCACCCAGAACCGCCGCUGCGCCUCCUCCUCCUUCCGCCGCCGCUGAGCCGCUCUUGCUCCUCUAUCGCUGCGCCGCUCCUGCUGGCCCGCAUCACCGACGCGCCCAUCCACACCCACACCUCGCCAGUGCUGACACCCCUGCGACAUUGCCGCCGCCCCCCGCGAUUUGCCGUUAUUCCCCUAGAUCGGGUGUUGCCACAUCGCCGUCCACGCCUGCGGUUCCUCCCCUCUCCCCUUCCGUGAUCUCCCUCUCCACACCCACGGUUCCUCCGCUCUCCCCUUCCGCAAUCUCCCUCUCCACGCCCGCGGUUCUUCUGCUCUCCCCUUCAGACGCCAUAGCCGAUCUCCUCACGGCCGUUGCCAUCGCGACCACCAUCGAUUCCUGACCGCCAAUUCGGGGUCACGGUGACCGAGCCCCCGCCGAUCGUCCCAUCACGCCACCCCUUCGCCACUCACUGCCAGGUCGUCAUCCAUCGUUCCUCCUCUACUCACGAUCCCCAACAUGGUCCAUCAGAAUCGUUUGUGCUCUCCGCUCUCUCCAAGAGGACUUGGAGCUGCUACAUUACGUUGACAGCGACUAUGCUUUCACCUCCCGCCUUCGUCACGGCUACUUAGCAGGAAGGUCUUCCCAUGGUGCUCGAUCACAUCGCCGCCUCCGCGCACUUGCUCUUUCCCCGACGGUCGAUGCUGGCACCGUGCCGCUCCACCUCAGGCAGAGAAGAUUAGAUCGCCUCCACGGCUCCGCCAUUCCGAAUCCGGCCAGUUCUGCAAAUGAGGCUGCUGACAUCAUCGAUCCGCCAUCUCGCACAGCUUGAUGGGCAUCAUCGCUCGCCUUUGCCUCAUGACCUUUCCGUUGCCAACUAUCGAAGCUGCCUAAAUUUACUAGCAGGUCAUCGGUUGAAACCAUCCAUGUGCUGAAUAGGUCUCAAGAUAGGAGCAAGUUCCGCAAGACGUGCAUUGGACACAGCCGUCGCAUCGCUCCUCUGCAGCAGAUCCACGCACCGGCCACCGCCUUCACAACAUGAUUUGGAGGUGGAGAAGCUUGGUGUGCCCUCGACGAGUUCUUCCACAAAUUUACUACCCUCGAUGAUGGCCCAGGCCGCGGCGGCUUUGUCGGCUUCUUCGACAACACUAAUGUCUACCUUGCCAACAAUAUGGAUGCACUGGUGUUUUUAUAUUUGGAUCUCAAGCCCUCGUAUCUGGUUCUCCAGCUGAAUGUGUUGAUGCGAUGACUGCAGCUUACCAAUGGAUGACUCUGUCAUCUUUUCGCUGGCUUGAAGAACUCUGCAGAGAAGCAGAGGUAGGAUAUGUUGACAUCAGGUGCUUAACUGAAACCCGAAUAGAAUCCAUUUAUUUUGACUUCAAACUGAUGUUCAGAUCUGACAUUUGGUGCACAACAUGCAGUUGGGGGUUUUGACGUUUCUUAAGUUUUUUUCAUUGAACUUGAUCAGCCAAAUAAGCUAUUUUAGACGUGAUUCAUGACCUGUUAGUCUGAAGCGAAAGCAGAAUCAGAUUCAAGAAAUGCAGAUGUAGAACUAUCCAAUCAUAUCGAUCGAGCACAAUCUUGUCAUGCCAUUGCCAGACAUCCAUUCUUGCACAAAGCAAACUCCACUCAAGAUUGUUAGAUAAUGCAUGUACAUCAAAAUAAAGAUAUAUGCUUUUCUCUGCUGAACUGCAUAUUCUGGAUCAAUCAUCCAUGGUCAUCCAUACUCAAAAAUUUUGUUGGUAUAUCAGUCAUGGAAAUUACAUUUUAUUUUUUCUUCCUUUUCACCUAAACUCACAGUCUGCAUAUAUUUUAUACGGUCCCUUCUUAAUGUUUGGGGCUUAGCUAUUAGUAUUUACAAAUUCAUACAUGUGAGUGUUACCUCAAUAUGUAUUAUCUGAUCUAUACAAGUUCAUACUGAACUGGUAUUAUACAAUGUACACAAACUAUUUGAUUCUAUAAUGGACUUAGUAGAUAUGUACUUACAAAAUC